UACGGAGGGGACUAGCGUUGUUCGGAAUUACUGGGCGUAAAGCGCACGUAGGCGGCUUUGUAAGUCAGGGGUGAAAUCCCGGGGCUCAACCUCGGAACUGCCUUUGAUACUGCAAAUCUCGAGUCCGGAAGAGGUGAGUGGAAUUCCUAGUGUAGAGGUGAAAUUCGUAGAUAUUAGGAAGAACACCAGUGGCGAAGGCGGCUCGCUGGUCCGGUACUGACGCUGAGGUGCGAAAGCGUGGGGAGCAAACAGG
rnacentral:rRNA from 1 species